CAAAAAACAGCAUGUUGUGUUAUGGAAGAAUGAACGUUUUUUAUUCUUGAUGCAGACAAAUGCAACAGUGAUAGUUUGUGAAUAUUGAUGCUAUAAAAAUACUCAUACAGUAAUGACAUUUGCAAUUGCUUUGGCUCCAUCUGUAGAGUUCAGGAGAGGUACAGUAUAUUGCCAAAAUACACGGGAGUCAAAAAAAAACGGGGGUUUAUGGCCGGAGGGCUAAGGGCACUGGUGGAGACAGGCUUAAGAAGGGAAACAUGAAAUGUCGAGUGGAUCUUAAGAGAGAGGGAAUGUUUUAACCAUACAGGGGUGGCAUUGAAGAUUUUGGUGAUAGGGAAGGGACCAAUGAAACGUGGAGUGAUUUUACGGGAUUAAGUCUGGAGAGGGACAUCACGGGAGGAGAGCCAAACCAUCUGACCCACCUUGCAUUCUGGCGUGGGAGGGCGAUGGAGAGCUGCCAGCCGCUUGUUCCUCUCAGCAGAAUGAGUCAGAGCAGCCCUGACGUCCUUCCAUACAGAUUGGACCCGUAGCCAUAAAUGGAGAUAUACCUGUGGCGGAGCUGGUGAGGGAGUCAUGGGCAUUUUCCACCCACGGAAGGAAGGUGCUCCUGGAGUCGGGAUUGCGAGCGGCAACACAGCGAAGAGCAGAUUCCAGGCUCUGGUUCGCCCGCUCCGUCUGGCCGUUGGAUUGGGGGUGGUAGCCGGAAGACAGACUGGCUGCUGCGCCCACCACCUUGCAGAACUCCUUCCAGACCUGGGAGGAGAACUGAGGACUGAGACAAUUGUCUGUUGGAAUGCCAUGAAAUCUGAAUACGUGGAGGAUUAACAACCAUGACACUAAAACUACAGUGGUUAUGAGUUUGAUUCGUUCCAUGACUGCACUUGUAACUCAAAACACCACAAAUCAUCUUUCUCCAUAGAAAUGAAUGGAAAUGUUGUUUAUCUCAAAAAGUUGUGAGCUCCCAAAAAACACCAAGAAAAAUGUUUGUAACCUGUUUUUUUUUAACAAUAUAAAAAUCACUCUGCAUUAUUGUACUUUAUAACAUCGUAACAUAAUAACAUAAUUAUGCAGUUUGUGCGUCACGAUUUCAUUGAAGUUCAUUGUAUGUGCGCUAGGGCCACCAGGGGGGAAUUUUAUUAUAUAUAUUUGCAUAUACUACACACAGAAGACGCGAAGAACUGCUCAGUAAGAUGCAGUAAUGUUAGUCGCCCUUUUCGCAGAGGAUAAAGAAUAUAUGCCUGUGUGUAUUAAUAUUGUAUGUCUACGUGUGCUGCUGUGCUAUUUGCUUUCAAAUAUUAGUUGCUUAAAGGGUUGUAACACCAAAACAUUGUUGUUAGUGUCAUUGGCCCGUCAAUUGCGUUUUGCAUUGUAUGUUAGCAUUAAUCUAUCAGACCUAUGUAAGGCAACUCCUUGCCCACAUGCCAGGGCAUUAGACUACCUUAAUUGCUCCAUUUUCCUUUUUUUUUUUUUUUUGCAUCACUCAAGCGGCAGCAUAUCUGACACAACACAACACUUGAUAAACUUGAUAAACUCUACAAGUAAGUUGGGCACUCAUAAGUCAAAGUACCACUGCAGGAAAAAAUGUGCAAAAGAUUUAGUUAAAAAAAAAAAAAACCUUACUCCAGACAUUUAACUUUAUGUUGUAAUGUUCUUCAACACUAUUCCAAAAAUAAAACAGUUUGUAUUAGUA